GACGAACGCUGGCGGCGUGCUUAACACAUGCAAGUCGAACGGUGAAGCGCCUUCCUUUUUGGUGGGUGUGGAUGAGUGGCGAACGGGUGAGUAACACGUGAGUAACCUGCCCCCUUCUUCUGGAUAACCGCAUGAAAGUGUGGCUAAUACGGGAUAUUCUGGGUCUGUCGCAUGAUGGGUCUGGGAAAGAUAUUGUUUCGGUGGGGGAUGGGCUCGCGGCCUAUCAGCUUGUUGGUGGGGUGAUGGCCUACCAAGGCGGUGACGGGUAGCCGGCCUGAGAGGGUGGACGGUCACACUGGGACUGAGACACGGCCCAGACUCCUACGGGAGGCAGCAGUGGGGAAUAUUGCACAAUGGGCGCAAGCCUGAUGCAGCGACGCCGCGUGAGGGAUGGAGGCCUUCGGGUUGUGAACAUCUUUCGCCAGUGAAGCAGGACUGCCUCGUGUGUGGGUGGGUUGACGGUAGCUGGAUAAGAAGCGCCGGCUAACUACGUG
rnacentral:rRNA from 1 species